rnacentral:rRNA from 1 species
UACGUAGGGGGCAAGCGUUGUCCGGAUUUAUUGGGCGUAAAGAGCUCGUAGGCGGCUUGGCAAGUCGGGUGUGAAACCUCCAGGCUCAACCUGGAGACGCCACUCGAUACUGCCAUGGCUAGAGUCCGGUAGGGGACCACGGAAUUCCUGGUGUAGCGGUGAAAUGACGCAGAUAUCAGGAGGAACACCGGUGGCGAAGGCGGUGGUCUGGGCCGGCACUGACGCUGAGGAGCGAAAGCGUGGGUAGCAAACGGG